UACGUAGGGUGCAAGCGUUAAUCGGAAUUACUGGGCGUAAAGCGUACGCAGGCGGCUUUGCAAGACAGGUGUGAAAUCCCCGGGCCUAACCUGGGAACUGCAUUUGUGACUGCAUGGCUAGAGUUUGUCAGAGGGGGGGUGGAAUUCCACGUGUAGCAGUGAAAUGCGUAGAGAUGUGGAGGAAUACCGAUGGCGGAAGGCAGCCCCCUGGGAUAACACUCGACGCUCAUGCACGAAAGCGUGGGGAGCAAACAGG
rnacentral:rRNA from 1 species